CCUGGCUCAGUAUGAGCGCUAGCUACAGGCUUAACACAUGCAAGUCGAGGGGCAGCAUGGUCUUAGCUUGCUAAGGCCGAUGGCGACCGGCGCACGGGUGAGUAACACGUAUCCAACCUGCCGUCUACUCUUGGACAGCCUUCUGAAAGGAAGAUUAAUACAAGAUGGCAUCAUGAGUCCGCAUGUUCACAUGAUUAAAGGUAUUCCGGUAGACGAUGGGGAUGCGUUCCAUUAGAUAGUAGGCGGGGUAACGGCCCACCUAGUCUUCGAUGGAUAGGGGUUCUGAGAGGAAGGUCCCCCACAUUGGAACUGAGACACGGUCCAAACUCCUACGGGAGGCAGCAGUGAGGAAUAUUGGUCAAUGGGCGAGAGCCUGAACCAGCCAAGUAGCGUGAAGGAUGACUGCCCUAUGGGUUGUAAACUUCUUUUAUAAAGGAAUAAAGUCGGGUAUGGAUACCCGUUUGCAUGUACUUUAUGAAUAAGGAUCGGCUAACUCCGUGCCAGCAGCCGCGGUAAUACGGAGGAUCCGAGCGUUAUCCGGAUUUAUUGGGUUUAAAGGGAGCGUAGAUGGAUGUUUAAGUCAGUUGUGAAAGUUUGCGGCUCAACCGUAAAAUUGCAGUUGAUACUGGAUAUCUUGAGUGCAGUUGAGGCAGGCGGAAUUCGUGGUGUAGCGGUGAAAUGCUUAGAUAUCACGAAGAACUCCGAUUGCGAAGGCAGCCUGCUAAGCUGCAACUGACAUUGAGGCUCGAAAGUGUGGGUAUCAAACAGGAUUAGAUACCCUGGUAGUCCACACGGUAAACGAUGAAUACUCGCUGUUUGCGAUAUACGGCAAGCGGCCAAGCGAAAGCGUUAAGUAUUCCACCUGGGGAGUACGCCGGCAACGGUGAAACUCAAAGGAAUUGACGGGGGCCCGCACAAGCGGAGGAACAUGUGGUUUAAUUCGAUGAUACGCGAGGAACCUUACCCGGGCUUAAAUUGCAGAUGAAUUACGGUGAAAGCCGUAAGCCGCAAGGCAUCUGUGAAGGUGCUGCAUGGUUGUCGUCAGCUCGUGCCGUGAGGUGUCGGCUUAAGUGCCAUAACGAGCGCAACCCUUGUUGUCAGUUACUAACAGGUUCCGCUGAGGACUCUGACAAGACUGCCAUCGUAAGAUGUGAGGAAGGUGGGGAUGACGUCAAAUCAGCACGGCCCUUACGUCCGGGGCUACACACGUGUUACAAUGGGGGGUACAGAGGGCCGCUACCACGCGAGUGGAUGCCAAUCCCCAAAACCUCUCUCAGUUCGGACUGGAGUCUGCAACCCGACUCCACGAAGCUGGAUUCGCUAGUAAUCGCGCAUCAGCCACGGCGCGGUGAAUACGUUCCCGGGCCUUGUACACACCG
rnacentral:rRNA from 1 species